rnacentral:rRNA from 1 species
GACGAACGCUGGCGGCGUGCUUAACACAUGCAAGUCGAACGGACAGGCCCCUUUGGGGGUACUCGAGUGGUGAACGGGUGAGUAACACGCGUGUAACCUGCCCUUGACUUCGGGAUAACUACUGGUAACUGGGGCGAAUACCGGAGAGGAAUCCUUGCGGCAUGGUGGGGGUUGGCAAGCUUUUGCGGUUUUGGAUGGAUUCGCGGCUUAUCAGCCUGCUGGUGGGGUAGUGGCUUACCCAGGCUUUGGCGGGUAGCCGGCGUGAGAGGGAGACCAGCCACAGUGAGACUGGGAUACGGCCCAGACUCCUACUGGAGGGGGAAGUGGGGAAGAGUGAACAAGGGGCGGAAGCCUGAGGCAGCACCGGCGCGGGCGGGAGGGCGGUCUUCGGGUUGUGGUCCGCAUGCAGCAGGAGCGAAGCUUGUAAUGACGGUACCUGCAGAAGAAGCACCGGCUAACUACGUG